rnacentral:rRNA from 1 species
AGUGAACGCUGGCGGUAUGCCUAACACAUGCAAGUCGAACGGCAGCACAGUAAGAGCUUGCUCUUACGGGUGGCGAGUGGCGGACGGGUGAGGAAUACGUCGGAAUCUACUUUUUCGUGGGGGAUAACGUAGGGAAACUUACGCUAAUACCGCAUACGACCUACGGGUGAAAGCAGUGGAUCUUCGGACCUUGCGCGAUUGAAUGAGCCGAUGUCGGAUUAGCUAGUUGGCGGGGUAAAGGCCCACCAAGGCGACGAUCCGUAGCUGGUCUGAGAGGAUGAUCAGCCACACUGGAACUGAGACACGGUCCAGACUCCUACGGGAGGCAGCAGUGGGGAAUAUUGGACAAUGGGCGCAAGCCUGAUCCAGCCAUACCGCGUGGGUGAAGAAGGCCUUCGGGUUGUAAAGCCCUUUUGUUGGGAAAGAAAAGCAGCAGGUUAAUACCCCGCUGUUCUGACGGUACCCAAAGAAUAAGCACCGGCUAACUUCGUG